UACGUAGGUGGCAAGCGUUGUCCGGAAUUAUUGGGCGUAAAGCGCGCGCAGGUGGUUCCUUAAGUCUGAUGUGAAAGCCCACGGCUCAACCGUGGAGGGUCAUUGGAAACUGGGGAACUUGAGUGCAGAAGAGGAAAGUGGAAUUCCAAGUGUAGCGGUGAAAUGCGUAGAUAUCUGGAGGAACACCGGUGGCGAAGGCGGCGUCCUGGACCAACACUGACACUGAUGAGCGAAAGCCAGGGGAGCAAACGGG
rnacentral:rRNA from 1 species